UACGUAGGGUGCGAGCGUUAAUCGGAAUUACUGGGCGUAAAGCGUGCGCAGGCGGUUAUGCAAGACAGAUGUGAAAUCCCCGGGCUCAACCGGGGAACUGCAUCAGUGACUGCAUAGCUAGAGUGCGGCAGAGGGGGAUGGAAUUCCGCGUGUAGCAGUGAAAUGCGUAGAUAUGCGGAGGAACACCGAUGGCGAAGGCAAUCCCCUGGGCCUGCACUGACGCUCAUGCACGAAAGCGUGGGGAGCAAACAGG
rnacentral:rRNA from 1 species